rnacentral:pre_miRNA from 1 species
UUUUAUGGAUGAGCAAAGAAAGUGUUUUCUUGAGAUGGAAUCUACUCCUGGUUCAAAUGCUAUGAA